rnacentral:rRNA from 1 species
GCACGGGAUUCCCUCCUUCGGGAGGGAUGAGAGUGGCGCACGGGUGAGUAACGCGUGGGAACCUACCCUGGGAUGGGGGAUAACCGCUGGAAACGGCGGCUAAGACCGCAUACGCCCUGUGGGGGAAAGGCUUCGGGCAACCGGGGCCGUCCUGGGAGGGGCCCGCGUCCGAUUAGCUAGUUGGCGGGGUGACGGCCACCAAGGCGAUGAUCGGUAGCUGGUCUGAGAGGAUGAUCAGCCACACUGGGACUGAGACACGGCCCAGACUCCUACGGGAGGCAGCAGUGGGGAAUAUUGGACAAUGGGCGCAAGCCUGAUCCAGCCAUGCCGCGUGGGUGACGAAGGCCUUAGGGUUGUAAAGCCCUUUCGCACGCGAAGAUGAUGACGGUAGCGUGAGAAGAAGCCCCGGCUAACUCCGUGCCAGCAGCCGCGGUAAUACGGAGGGGGCUAGCGUUGUUCGGAAUUACUGGGCGUAAAGGGCGCGUAGGCGGUCUGUCGCGUCGGGCGUGAAAGCCCUGGGCUCAACCUGGGAUGUGCGCACGAUACCGACAGGCUGGAGACCGGGAGAGGAGAGUGGAAUUCCCAGUGUAGAGGUGAAAUUCGUAGAUAUUGGGAAGAACACCGGUGGCGAAGGCGGCUCUCUGGCCCGGUUCUGACGCUGAGGCGCGAAAGCU